rnacentral:lncRNA from 1 species
AGCUCCGAAGAUUUACCGCGGGCAGGAGGCCCCGCAAGACAGAUUCAGGAAUCCAGCAGCCAAAAACUGAAGCCGGCACUGAAAUUUCUGAAUAAAAAUAUCCCAGUGGGAGAGGGAGGGCCAUGUGGCUGUCUAGUGGCGCUCUGUGCUUGGUGCCAACUGCAUCUCUGAGGACUGACUGGCACAGAAGUUGAGAACCUUCCAUUUCCCCCUGGUUGAAAUACAUUAGUUGCUAUGGAAACUGCGAUCCCCCCGGUGUGGAUGGAGCUGAAUGACACCUACAAUUGCAGAGCACGGUUGGCGUUGCCAGGGCUGGGAAAUGGGCGUCGUGGCUGGAGAGGGCACUGAAGGGCACAGAUGAGAAUAAUGACAGCACACAGCACGACCGUCAGGAACCGACGCAGCACCACUGGGUCAGAAGUUGUGGAAGAAGCCAUGGGUAACAGAAGCCCCCCAUGCCCUACACCACACAGAGGGGCGGGUCCCAUCAGAGGCCUAACCCCUGGAGGGCUCUCAUUUUCAAAACAUAAAAAAUGGAGCUAUAGCUGGUACUUGCAAAAAAAAAAAAAAAAAGAUGCAUUUUCAUUUUGAUAAAUACUAGAAUCAUUCUAUUUCGAAUGAGUAUUUUUGCCCUUCUGUAUGGGGUAUGAUGUCCCUCUUCCCACGUAUUUGAGCUCUUCAUGACGUAAGAGAGAGUUUAGCACGCAGCUCUGAAC